UACGUAGGUCCCGAGCGUUGUCCGGAUUUAUUGGGCGUAAAGCGAGCGCAGGUGGUUUAAUAAGUCUGAUGUAAAAGGCAGUGGCUCAACCAUUGUGUGCAUUGGAAACUGUUAGACUUGAGUGCAGUAGAGGAGAGUGGAAUUCCAUGUGUAGCGGUGAAAUGCGUAGAUAUAGGAAGGAACACCAGUGGCGAAGGCGGCCAUCUGGCUGGUAACUGACGCUGAGGUGCGAGAGCGUGGGGAGCAAACAGG
rnacentral:rRNA from 1 species